rnacentral:rRNA from 1 species
UACCCGGAGGAAAAGAAAGAAAUUCGAUUCCGUAAGUAGCGGCGAGCGAACGCGGAACAGCCCAAACCAGUGAAGUUUUCUUCGCUGGGGUUGCGGACAUAUCACAAACAAGAGGUCAUCGUAAACGAAGAGAGUUGGAAAGCUCCGCUAUAAAGUGUAAUAGCCACGUAGUUGAAACGAGAAGACUUUAGAUGUGAUCCAGAGUACCACGGGACA